ensembl:snoRNA SNORA70 Small nucleolar RNA SNORA70
UGGCAGUCAGUGAAGCCAACGGUGUUCAUUUGCUGGUGGGUACACAAUGUGCAGUGUCUACCAUUAGCAACCCCAUUGGUAGGGUGUUCAGGCUGUUUCUUGUACAGGCUGUCUGAAGGGGCCUUAGGGAUGCUG